AAAUUUAUACAUGAUCUGGACAUCUGAUCUAAAUAUCAUUCACUCAAUUUCUGAAGGGGAAUACAACCAAAACUCGAAUGAUAUCAUUUCUGAAGGAGGAUUAUUAAUUGGCAACUUGGCUUUGAAGGUUAUUCCACCAAUUGGUUCUACCUAAAGAUUCGAGCGUUGAGCCUUUGAGUAACACAUUGGUCUCUCCCUUUGAUUGGAAGCACGUGGUAUAGAGAUCCAUAACGCUUGAGUUUCAAUGAUUUUUUUGUAGAUUUUUAUGAUCAUAUUGAUCAACUUUAUAGAAUCUAUGCAUUGUCUCUAGUUCAUGUAGAAGUUAAAGCAAGGUAUCAGUAUUUCUAGGCAUAUAUGUAAGUUGAUCAAUAUAAAUGUUAUAUGGAUAAACUAAAAUGAACGAUGGUAAUAGCCCAUUUACUUUGUAGACUUAUGUCAAAUGUUAGAUCUUACGUUGUUACGCAACGCCACAAACAUACAACUCAAAAAUGGAGCAGUCAAGCCAUUAUGAGAGAAGCUAGCAAGAAGACUGACAUAUUGACAAAAGAAAUACGAAUCUUCUCGAUCAUAUGUUCUGUGCUGCUAAAUCAUGUGUAAAAACAAUUUAUCACAUAAUCUUGUGUACUUUGCUUUAUUUUAAGAUAGUCUAAUGAAACUGUG
rnacentral:lncRNA from 1 species